rnacentral:rRNA from 1 species
UUGGGAAUCUUAGGCAAUGGGCGAAAGCCUGACCUAGCGACGCCGCGUGAGGGAAGAAGGCCUUCGGGUCGUAAACCUCUGUCAUGGGGGACGAAGGAAGUGAGGUACCCCAAGAGGAAGCCCCUGCUAACUACGUGCCAGCAGCCGCGGUAAUACGUAGGGGGCGAGCGUUAUCCGGAAUUAUUGGGCGUAAAGGGCGAGUAGGCGGUCUGUUAAGUCAGGUGUGAAAUUUCAGGGCUCAACCCUGAAACUGCGCUUGAAACUGGCAGGCUAGAGGACAGGAGAGGGAAGUGGAAUUCCCGGUGUAGCGGUGGAAUGCGUAGAUAUCGGGAGGAACACCGAGUGGCGAAGGCGGCUUCCUGGGACUGUACCUGACGCUGAGGAGCGAAAGCUGGGGGAG